UACGUAGGGGGCAAGCGUUGUCCGGAAUUAUUGGGCGUAAAGAGCGUGUAGGCGGUCCGGUAAGUCAGCUGUGAAAGUCAAGGGCUCAACCCUUGAAUGCCGGUUGAUACUGUCGGGCUAGAGUCCGGAAGAGGCGAGUGGAAUUCCCGGUGUAGCGGUGAAAUGCGCAGAUAUCGGGAGGAACACCAAUGGCGAAGGCAGCUCGCUGGGACGGUACUGACGCUGAGA
rnacentral:rRNA from 1 species